rnacentral:rRNA from 1 species
UUAGUGCAAUUGAAUAUUUUUGGUUAAUAUAGUUAUUAGUAUAUUUGAGUUUUAUUUUGAUUUUAUUGGGUGAAAUUUCAUUUUUUAGUAUAACUCUUUAUUAUGAACCUGUGAAACUUAAGAGAUAAACUAGGAUUAGAUACCCUAUUAUUUUAAGUGUUAAUUUAAAUUGCCUGGGUARUAUUAGUUAAGGUCUUUAAACUCAAAGAAUUUGGCGGUAUUUCAUUCCAUUCAGAGGAACCUGUCUCGUAAUUGAUAGUACACAAUUAACUUUACUUAAUUUAUUUGUUUGUAUAUCUCCGUUAUCGGAAAAUCUUUUUGGAGUUAUAAUUUUCCUGUUUUUCCAUUAAAAAUUAUCUCAGGUCAAGGUGCAGCUUAUAGUUAAGUGUAUGAUGGGUUACAAUAAAUUUUUUUAUUAUGGAUUAUGGUUUUGGAAUAUUCUAAUGAAGGUGGAUUUGAUAGUAAUUUAAUUUAUUUAAUUUAAUUGAUAUUGGCU